UAGUAAUUUGGCAUCACAGAUUGCUGGGU
rnacentral:piRNA from 1 species